rnacentral:lncRNA from 1 species
UGGCAUAUCAAAGAACCCCAAUUAUUCAAUUUUUGAUGAAAUCAAACAAAGUUUAAUUUUGGACCCCGAUUUGGACCAACUUAAAAACUGGGCCAAUAAUCAAAAAUCUAAGUACAUUUUUAGAUUCAGCAUAUCAAAGAACCCCAAGGAUUCAAUUUUUGUUAAAAUCAAACUAAGUUUAAUUUUGGACCCUUUGGACCUUAAUGUAGACCAAUUUGAAAACGGGACCAAAAAUUAAGAAUCUAAAUACACAGUUAAAUUCGGCAUAUCAAAGAACCCCAAUUAUUCAAUUUUUGAUGAAAUCAAACAAAGUUCAAUUUUGGGAC